rnacentral:rRNA from 1 species
CAACUCCAAACCCCAUGUGAACAUACCUCUUGUUGCUUCGGCGGGCUCACCGGCCGGCGUCCGCUCGCGGGCCCCGAGCCGGCCGCCGAGGAACCCUACACUCUCCUGUAUCAUCAGUCUCUUCUGAACGAGCCGCAAGGCGAACACAAAUGAAUCAAAACUUUCAACAACGGAUCUCUUGGUUCUGGCAUCGAUGAAGAACGCAGCGAAAUGCGAUAAGUAAUGUGAAUUGCAGAAUUCAGUGAAUCAUCGAAUCUUUGAACGCACAUUGCGCCCGCCAGCAUUCUGGCGGGCAUGCCUGUUCGAGCGUCAUUUCAACCCUCGAGCUCCCUCUGGGGAGCCCGGCGUUGGGGACCGGCAGCGUUACCGCCGGCCCCGAAAUGGAGUGGCGGCCCGUCCGCGGCGACCUCUGCGUAGUACACUGACCUCGCACCGGGAACCCGACGCGGCCACGCCGUAAAACCCCCACUUUUCUGAACGUUGACCUCGGAUCAGGUAGGAAUACCCGCUGAACUUAAGCAUA